rnacentral:rRNA from 1 species
UUUUACUCCUACGGGAGGCAGCAGUGGGGAAUAUUGGACAAUGGGCGAAAGCCUGAUCCAGCCAUGCCGCGUGUGUGAAGAAGGUCUUCGGAUUGUAAAGCACUUUAAGUUGGGAGGAAGGGUUGUAGAUUAAUACUCUGCAAUUUUGACGUUACCGACAGAAUAAGCACCGGCUAACUCUGUGCCAGCAGCCGCGGUAAUACAGAGGGUGCAAGCGUUAAUCGGAAUUACUGGGCGUAAAGCGCGCGUAGGUGGUUCGUUAAGUUGGAUGUGAAAUCCCCGGGCUCAACCUGGGAACUGCAUCCAAAACUGGCGAGCUAGAGUAUGGUAGAGGGUGGUGGAAUUUCCUGUGUAGCGGUGAAAUGCGUAGAUAUAGGAAGGAACCACCAGUGGCGAAGGCGACCACCUGGACUGAUACUGACACUGAGGUGCGAAAGCGUGGGGAGCAAACAGGAUUAGAUACCCUGGUAGUCCACGCCGUAAACGAUGUCAACUAGCCGUUGGGAGCCUUGAGCUCUUAGUGGCGCAGCUAACGCAUUAAGUUGACCGCCUGGGGAGUACGGCCGCAAGGUUAAAACUCAAAUGAAUUGACGGGGGCCCGCACAAGCGGUGGAGCAUGUGGUAUAAGUUGAAGCAACGCGAAGAACCUUACCAGGCCUUGACAUCCAAUGAACUUCCUAGAGAUGGAAUGUG